rnacentral:tRNA from 1 species
GGGUCUGUAGCUCAGUUGGUUAGAGCGCACCCCUGAUAAGGGUGAGGUCGGAAGUUCAAANNGCUGGGAGAGCGCCUGCUUUGCACGCAGGAGGUCGGCGGUUCGAUCCCGCCUGGCUCCACCA